rnacentral:tRNA from 1 species
AAUGAAGUGCCUGAAUAAAGGGUUAUUUUGAUAGAAUAAAUUAUGUAAUUAUUUACCUUCAUUA